GAUGAACGCUGGCGGCGUGCCUAAUACAUGCAAGUCGAGCGAACAGACGAGGAGCUUGCUCCUCUGACGUUAGCGGCGGACGGGUGAGUAACACGUGGAUAACCUACCUAUAAGACUGGGAUAACUUCGGGAAACCGGAGCUAAUACCGGAUAAUAUAUUGAACCGCAUGGUUCAAUAGCGAAAGACGGUUUUGCUGUCACUUAUAGAUGGAUCCGCGCCGCAUUAGCUAGUUGGUAAGGUAACGGCUUACCAAGGCAACGAUGCGUAGCCGACCUGAGAGGGUGAUCGGCCACACUGGAACUGAGACACGGUCCAGACUCCUACGGGAGGCAGCAGUAGGGAAUCUUCCGCAAUGGGCGAAAGCCUGACGGAGCAACGCCGCGUGAGUGAUGAAGGUCUUCGGAUCGUAAAACUCUGUUAUUAGGGAAGAACAAAUGUGUAAGUAACGAUGCACGUCUUGACGGUACCUAAUCAGAAAGCCACGGCUAACUACGU
rnacentral:rRNA from 1 species